UGGGGAAUUUUGGACAAUGGGCGCAAGCCUGAUCCAGCAAUGCCGCGUGCAGGAAGAAGGCCUUCGGGUUGUAAACUGCUUUUGUCAGGGAAGAAAUCUUCUGGGUUAAUACCUCGGGAGGAUGACGGUACCUGAAGAAUAAGCACCCGGUCUAACUACGUGC
rnacentral:rRNA from 1 species